rnacentral:tRNA from 1 species
GCUUGGGUAGCUGAGUCAGUUAAGCAUCUGACUUCGGCUCAGGUCAUGAGCUCACAUUUUGUGGGUUCAAGCCCCACAUUGGGCU